GACGAACGCUGGCGGCGUGCCUAAUACAUGCAAGUAGGACGCAGUUGCGAACGGGUGAGUAACGCGUAGGUAACUACCUAUUAGAGGGGGAUAACUAUUUGAAACGAUAGCUAAUACCGCAUACCAGUAGAUUGACCUGCGUUGUAUUAGCUAGUAGGUAGGGUAAUGGCCUCCCUAGGCAACGAUACAUAGCCGACGUGAGAGGGUGGGAGGACGCACUGGGACGGGGACAGGGCCCAGAGUGCUACGGGAGGCGGCAGGAGGGAAGCUUCGGGAAUGGGGGGAAACCUGAGCGAGAAAGGCGGCGGGAGUGAGGAAGGUUUUCGGGUGGUAAAGCACUGGUGUUAAGGAAGCGGUACUUAACCAGAAAGGGACGGCUAACUACGUGCCAGCAGCCGCGGUAAUUC
rnacentral:rRNA from 1 species